CGGCCAGACUCCUACGGGAGGCAGCAGUGGGGAAUAUUGCACAAUGGGGGAAACCCUGAUGCAGCAACGCCGCGUGAGUGAAGAAGUCUUUCGGUAUGUAAAGCUCUAUCAGCAGGGAAGAAGAAAGACGGUACCUGACUAAGAAGCCCCGGCUAACUACGUGCCAGCAGCCGCGGUAAUACGUAGGGGGCAAGCGUUAUCCGGAUUUACUGGGUGUAAAGGGAGCGUAGACGGCAGUGCAAGUCCGGAGUGAAAGCCCGGGGCUCAACCCUGGGACUGCUCUGGAAACUGUAAAGCUGGAGUGCGGGAGGGGCAGGCGGAAUUCCUGGUGUAGCGGUGAAAUGCGUAGAUAUCAGGAGGAACACCGGUGGCGAAGGCGGCCUGCUGGACUGCGACUGACGUUGAGGCCCGAAAGCGUGGGGAGCAAACAGGAUUAGAUACCCCCGUAA
rnacentral:rRNA from 1 species